rnacentral:lncRNA from 1 species
GCUCAAAAAUGUAUUGGUACACAGAAACUUAUUUUCUUCGCUAGAGAAGAUGUUCAUUCGAAGUCCGGAAGACGGAUUUCGCUCAACUAGAGAAGAUUUGUACAAUUUGGGGGUUUAUUAACCCUAUUAUUUAUUUAUUCUAGUUCAAAGAUAAUGGUAUUAAUCACAAACGUACAUUCUUACAUCCAUGCUUUUUAUUCUCCUCAUUAAUUAUUCUCUUAUUUAGUCUUCUUUUAUCUUAUGACAAAUAAACUCUAUUUCCGUAUUAA